AGUCUGGUGCCAGCAGCCGCGGUAAUUCCAGCUCCAGUAGCGUAUGUUAAAGUUGUUGUGGUUAAAAAGCUCGUAGUUGGAUACCAGAUAAUUUAGGUCAGGAUCACCGCAAUGGUGUAUUCAAGCCUGAGUUUCUUAUUUUCUGGGUGCAGACCAAUUGGGGUAUGGAUGGCCUUCUGGUUGUUCUUAUCUCAAUUGGACCAUCUGUUCCAGAUCGUUUACCUUGAAAAAAAUUAGAGUGUUUAAAGCAGGCGUAACUAGCCUUGAAUAUAUUAGCAUGGGAUAAUAGAAUACGACUGUGGUCCUAUUCUUGUUUGGUUUUAGGACUACAGUAAUGAUUGACAGGGAUAGUUGGGGUCACUCGUAUUGAGUUGUUAGAGGUGAAAUUCUAGGAUUGACUCAAGACGGACUACUGCGAAAGCAUUUGACAAGGAUGUUUUCAUUAAUCAAGAACGAAAGUUGGGGGAUCGAAGAUGAUCAGAUACCGUCGUAGUCUCAACCAUAAACUAUGUCAACUAGGGAUCCGAUGAUGUUACAUGGAUGACUCAUCAGGCACCUUGUGAGAAAUCACAAGUAUUUGGAUUCCAGGGGGAGUAUGGUCGCAAGGCUGAAACUUAAAGGAAUUGACGGAAGGGCACCACCAGGAGUGGAACCUGCGGCUCAAUUUGACCCAACACGGGGAAACUCACCAGGUCCGGACACAGGGAGGAUUGACAGAUUGAGAGCUCUUUCUUGAUUCUGUGGUAGGUGGUGCAUGGCCGUUUUUAGUUGGUGGAGUGAUUUGUCUGGUUUAUUCCGAUAACGAUCGAGACCUUAACUUACUAAAUAGUGAUGUUAACCUGGCUUUCGAGCCUUUCAGUUGAUAUUUUAGAUUACUUCUCAGAAGGACACUUCACAUUAUAAGUGAAUGGAAGUUUGAGGCUAAAACAGGUCUGUGAUGCCCUUCGAUGUUCUGGGCUGCACGCGCGUUACACUGACACAUGCAACGAGUUAGUCCUUUCCUGAAGAGGUUGGGUAAACUUUUAAAGUGUGUCGAGAUGGGGAUAGAACCUUGCAAUUAUUGUUCUUAAACGAGGAAUUCCUAGUAAGCGUGAGUCAUCAACUCGCGCUGAUUACGUCCCUGCCCUUUGUACACACCGCCCGUCGCUCCUACCGAUUGAAUAGUGAGGUAAGGACUUAGGAUGGUGGAGUAAUCAUGUUGAAAGACAUGAUCUCAUGCC
rnacentral:rRNA from 1 species